rnacentral:rRNA from 1 species
UACGUAGGGGGCAAGCGUUAUCCGGAUUUACUGGGUGUAAAGGGAGCGUAGACGGCUUUGCAAGCCAGAUGUGAAAGCCCGGGGCUCAACCUCGGGACUGCAUUUGGAACUGUAUGGCUGGAGUGUCGGAGAGGCAGGCGGAAUUCCUAGUGUAGCGGUGAAAUGCGUAGAUAUUAGGAGGAACACCAGUGGCGAAGGCGGCCUGCUGGACGAUGACUGACGUUGAGGCUCGAGAGCGUGGGGAGCAAACAGG